rnacentral:lncRNA from 1 species
UGGCCUAUCCAGGCAUCAGGUAUCAUUGCUAGAUAACCACUCUGAUUGAUACAAAAAUAUGUUUAUGUGCUAUUAGCUUAGAUUCGAACUUAUGGAGUCAAAGAUGUUAGAAGUUUCUCUCCGAUCAGAUGGAUGAUCUGAAGAGUCCCACUGGACUGAGAUACUAUUGAAGAGUCCCAUUGGAUGAAGACUCUGGUGAAGAGUCUCACU